UCCCAUCCCAUUGUUCCCAUCCCAUCCCAUCCCAUUGUUCCCAUCCCAUCCCAUUGUUCCCAUCCCAUCCCAUCCCAUCCCCAUCCCAUUGUUCCCAUCCCAUCCCAUCCCAUUCCAUCCCAUCCCAUCCCAUCCCAUCGUUCCCAUCCCAUCCCAUCCCAUUGUUCCCAUCCCAUCCCAUUGUUCCCAUCCACAUCCCGUCCCAUCCCAUCCCACCCCAUUGUUCCCAUCCCAUCCCAUCCCAUCCCAUUCCAUUGUUCCCAUCCCAUCCCAUCCCAUUGUUCCCAUCCCAUCCCAUCCCAUCCCAUCGUUCCCAUCCCAUCCCAUUCCAUCCCAUCCCAUCCCAUUGUUCCCAUCCCAUUGUUCCCAUCCCAUCCCAUUGUUCCCAUCCCAUCCCAUUGUUCCCAUCCCAUCCCAUCCCAUCCCAUCCCAUUGUCCCCAUCCCGUCCCGUUCUUCCCACCCCAUUGCUGCUGCCCUCACUCUGUGCCCCGCUCCAACCCCAAAUUCCGCACCCCCCCCUUGGGGUCUGACCCGGGGCAGGCAGCGCUCCGGGGGGGGGGCACCGUGCCCCAUGGGGACGGGGCAGGAGCCUUGGGCCCCCCAGGUUCUGCUCCUUUGGGGCCGACCCCACAUCCGUGGGGCCGAGCGCGCAUCCUUUGGGGCGUCCUCCCCCUAUGGGGCCGUGCUCCAGCCCCAGCUCUCCCAGGCCCGCUGCCUCUGGUUCCGGGAGUUAAUUAACGCAGCUAAUUAGCACGAUGUUAGACAGCUCUCCCUCUGCCCACAGGGUGGCGCUCUGGAUUGCGGUGCCCUGCCCCAUAGAGCGGAGAGCUGCUAUAGGGCCGGCUGUGCCCCAUAGCGCAAGGAGCUGCUAUAGGGCCGGCUGUGC
ensembl:lncRNA